rnacentral:rRNA from 1 species
GUGAGGAAUAUUGGGCAAUGGGCGAAAGCCUGACCCAGCCACGCCGCGUGAGUGAUGAAGGCCUUCGGGUUGUAAAGCUCUGUGGGGAGGGAAGAAAAAGCGGGAGAGUAACUGCUCUCGUGUUGACGGUACCUCCUUAGCAAGCACCGGCUAACUCUGUGCCAGCAGCCGCGGUAAUACAGAGGGUGCAAACGUUGCUCGGAAUUACUGGGCGUAAAGCGCGUGUAGGCUAACAUGCAAGUCGGGUGUGAAAUCCCAGGGCUCAACCUUGGAACUGCACUCGAAACUGCACGUCUUGAGUACUGGAGAGGGAAGCGGAAUUCCGGGUGUAGAGGUGAAAUUCGUAGAUAUCCGGAGGAACACCAGUGGCGAAGGCGGCUUCCUGGACAGUAACUGACGCUGAGACGCGAAAGCGUGGGGAGCAAACAGGAUUAGAAACCCGUGUAGUCC